AUGAAUUCUAAUGUCCGUGUUACUCAUCCAUGUGCAGAGGGGAAUAGCAGGUUACACGUCUCGGUGAGAGACUACUACUGUUACAUGCUCCAGACACGACCUAGGAUAUUCAAUCCCAUACUCUGUGGAGCACGAUUGCUCCAGCAAUGGGGGGUGGACAUGUACAUCAAGAUUGAGAGUUGUAGGUUGAAAUGGUACAGAAAGAACCAGACAAAGAUCCGUGCCGACCUGUAUAAAGGAGUUGUUGAUGCAAUUACAUCUGGGGAGACCCGGGCAAGCGCUGUUGGAGUAAGGAUAGUGCUCCCUGGAACGUACCCAGGUGGCGACCGCGACAUGAAGCGGAGGCAUAUGGAUGCCAUGGCAAUUGUCCAUACCUAUGGGAAGCCUGGCAUCUUCUUGACCAUGACCUGCAACAUUAACUGGGAAGAGAUAACGAAUGAGUUGUUUCCUGGUCAGACAGCGCAAGACCGACCUGAUCUUGUGGCUCGUGUGUUCCAUGGCAAGCUAGAGGCUAUGAAAGAGAUGUUGUUCAAGAAGAAUAUCUUGGGUGUUGUUGUCGCACAUGUAUACGUAGUCGAGUUCCAGAAGAGGGGCCUCCCCCAUGCACACUUUUUUUUAUCAUGGAUUCUGCCUAUAAGCUUGUUGUUCCGGAGCAGUACGACCGACUCAUUUCUGCCGAGCUCCCAGACAAGCAGAAGUAUCCUGAACUCCACGCCUUUGUGGUAA
rnacentral:rRNA from 1 species